ACAAAAUUGUGUCCCCUGAAGCUUGUGGAGUUCAUGCCAGAAUUCAGUGAGAAAUAAGGGGUCCCUAUCCGAUACAAUAGUGACUAGAAAACCAUGGAGUCAAAUGAACUCCCGUACAAAUACCUCUGCUACUUUAUGACUGACGAAGUUUGUGGGCAAGGCAAUAAAAUGGCCGUAUUUGUAAAACGAUCCACAACGACCAAAAUAACCGUGCGACCAUGGGAAGGAGGCAAACCAGUAAUGAAAUCCAUUGAAAUAUCUUCGAAGAUAACCUUUGGAAUUAGCAAAAGGGAAAGCAGUCCAGCAGGUUUCAAAUUUGAGUCCUUCAUUUGGUGGCAGAUUUUGACAAGUAUUGAUAAAAAAUUUCACAUUUGUCUGCAUAGUAUCCAAAUAAAAAUUGGAAAAGAGGCGAUGAAAAGUAUGAGAGAUGCCUGCAUGUCCACCAGUUUUAGAGGAGUGAAAUUCCUCAAGCAGUAAUGUGCGUAGCUUAGUAUCUCGAGGGACAACCCGUCGAUUGCGAAACGAAAAAAAAUUCUCCUGAAAGGAAAAGUGAGGUAAAGUAGUUGGACCAGUCUCCCAUUUCCUUUGCAAGGGUAAUAACUCAGGAUUUGUUUUAUUCAGGGCCCCCAGCCAGUCAAUUAAAGCCAAUUCAGUAACAGCCAAGGUGAGGGCAUGCAAUGUAGGAACUCAAGAAAGAGCAUCAGCGGCUGAAUUGAGUCUUCCCGAUCUGUAAAGAAUCUCAAAAUCAUACCCGAUUAGUUUACUGAGCCAACGUUGUUGUUCAUGUAUUUGGAUCACUUGACUAAUGAGGGACUUUAAAGGUUGUCGGUCUUUGAUUAUAAUAAACUUGCGUCACAAUAGGUAUUGCCGCCACUUUUGAAUAGCUUGUGUGAUAGCAAACAUUUCUCUAUUAUAAAUCGAGGCAGCCUGCAUUCUUGAAGAUAAUUUCUGACUCAAGAAGGCAAUGGGAUGGCCUUCUUGAGAUCGCACUGCAUCAAUCCAUGUACUCGAUGCAUCUUCUUCCACCGUGAAGACUUUGGAGAAGUCAGUCAAUGAUAAAACAGGAAUGGAGCUCAAGGCCUUCUUGAGUUUUAAAAAAGCAGCAGAAGCCAAAUCAGACCAAACGAAAGAAUCUUUCUUCAACAAGUCCGUGAAAGGUGAAGACAAUUGAGCGUAUCCUUUGACAAAACAUCAAUAAUAGCCCGUUAGGCCAAGGAAUCCACGUAUAUCUUUGACUGAUGAAGGAUAGGGCCAAGAUAUGAUAGCAGCAAUUUUCUCUGGAUCAACUUGAAGGAGAUCAGAAGAUAAAAUAUGACCCAAAUAGGCAAUGGAGGACAAACCAAAUUGACAUUUUGAUUGAUUUACCACUAAAGCAUUGCUACAAAAACUAUUAAAUACAGAGCGAAGGUGAGCUAGGUGAUCCUUCCACUAUUGGCUAUAAAUGAGAAUAUCAUCAAAAAAAUGAGGAUAAAUUGGAGAAGAAAUGGUUUGAAAAUGGAGUUCAUUAUGGACUGGAAGGUGGAGGGGGCAUUCGAAAGCCCAAAUGGAAUAAUAGUGAACUCAUGAUGCCCAUCAUGAGUGCGGAAGGCAGUAUUUUCAAUAUCCGUGGGAUGGAGGCAAAUUCGGUGAUACCCUAUUAAUAAAUCCAGUUUAUAUAAGAAGCGAGCAUUGUGCAACUCGUCAAAUAAUUCAUCAACAGUAGGUAUAGGAAAACGAUCUUUAACUAUAAUGGAGUUCAAGGUCCGGUAAUCAAUGCAAAAAUGCCAAGUCCCAUCUUUCUUCCUAAUUAAUAGAAAAGGGAAAAAUAUGGACUUGAACUGGGACGGAUAACAUCGGACUUAAGCAUUUCAGGCACUUGGCGUUCAAUUUCAGCCUUCUAAAAAUAUGGAUAUCGAUAAGGAAGCACAUUAAUUGGAUUAGCACCCGGAAGCAGUGGAAUACGAUGGUCCCUAGGUCUGGAGGGUGGAAGUGACUUUGAGGAUUUAAAUACAUCAUCAUAGGAUUGAAGGAGAAGGCAUAAGUCUUGAGGAUAACCAGGUAAAGUAGUGGUAGAUGUAGAGUGGAGAUCUAACCGGAGGAGAUAAGAAAUGACAUCAGUUUGUGUAAAAUGACGAAGGGUUGUCAUAUUGAUUUGGGUUGGGAAAGAAACAGGGUUACCUAACCAACAAAUGCAUUGCCUAGAAAUGUUGAACUCGAAGAGACGUUUGACAUAGUCUGUAGUACUAGGACCUAGUGUGGCUAGCCAAACCACACCCAAAACAAGGUCAAACCCGUGAAGAUCACUGACAAAGAAGUCAAUGGAAAAAGAAAAACCUUGAAUAGUAAUAAGAACAUCAUGUAUCAUUCCAAGACACGUCAACGCAUGCCCAUUUCUAACCACAACAGAAAAUCUAGUAGAUGAUUCAAUGGCCAAUUUAAGUUUCCUAGUAGCACGCGGAAUGACAAAAUUAUGAGUGCUACCUCCAUCAAUGAGAAUCUGAGCUGCAAGGCCCUUGAUGUAACCAGUCACGCGAAUAGUGGAGGAAUAUAGUCCUCCAGAGAAGGCGUGAAGACUAAUGGUGAGAAGAGAGGGUGAGGUAGGUGAUAUAUCAGGAGGAGGGGAAUCAGAUGGUGGUGGUAACAAUUCCAAUGAAGGAUCCUCAAUGCUUCGUCAUCUACGAGAUGAAGAAAAGAUGGGGUGUUGAGGAGAAAUGAUGACCUUUGUGGUAUUUUUCGUCACAAUUGAAACACAAAUUUAGCUCGUGUUUGCGUUGAAUCUCCAUCGGUGUUAGUUUUUUAAAAGGGAUGCGGCCAACUCUGGGAAGAGAGAGAGUUGGGGAUUGCAAAGAAGGAGAGAUUGACGGGGUUGGUUUAGAGUUCCAAAUGGUUUGUUGUGGCAGGGAAAGAGGCUGUGGUUUAGAGAAAGAAUUGGGCCGGUUGUUUGUUUGGGUUGGGCCAAAUAUUUCUGCUCUUGUAAAAAGGCCAAACCAAUAGCCUCAUUCUAGUCCACAAGAUGAAAGGAAAGCACAUCGACCUUAAUAUCUGGUAGAAGCCCUGAAGUAAAGCAAUGUUUCAACAUUGGCCGCGACAUCUCUGUCGUACGAUUAGCGAGCUUUUCAAAAUGGGAGAGAUAGUCAUGAACGGAAGAAGUCAUUUGCAAUUUUGCAAGCAAACUCUCCAGUGAUUCCAAUGAUUUCACCCCAAAAGGAGUCACAAAAACUCUUAUUAAGUGAACCCAACCACAUUAUUUGUGACUCCGGAACAUCCAUUGAUACCAAUCUCUAGCGUUGCCUUCAAGAAAGAAGGAAAAUUGAUUGAUAUGUUCUUCAUCGGGAACAUUGUAGUGCUCGAAAUACUGAUGGGACUGGAAAAUCCAACUCUCCGCAGCGUUACCGUCACACUUUAGUAAUUCAAUUGCUCUGUCUCUGCGAAAGUGAUUAUAGGGCUGUUGUUUUUAUUAUUGUUGUGGUUGAGUGAUGUUAAAAAUUGGUGUGUGUGGUGGUGUGUGUUUCUUAUACCCAGUUUGUUGUUGCGGCAUCGAUAAUUGACCCAACACAGAGGAAGAAGGGCUAGCAGAGAUUGGCACCGGCGUCGGAGAAGGAGCUCUCUGAGAGGCCUUGUGCGCAACAAUCUCCUGAAGGGUAUUGUGGAUGGAGUCCAAAACUUUGGUGUGAAUAGUUGACUGUUCUUGGAGGUGUUUCACAGCUUUAUCCAAAGAUUUCAACCGAGUAUUGUGUGCACCGUCACCCAUUUGUAGAAGGAGGAUCAAUGAAAGCACCAAAUGCAAGGAAACCAGAUAUGAUAUUCAAUUGAACUGAGGGAUAACACUAUAUGAUCCUCAAUCCUUAGGGAAAACAAGAAGAAACAGUGAACAAAAAUGAAAAGCAAGAAAAGAGAGGUCCCAGACUGCUACAAGCUAGCUAAUGAAAUAAAAAGCAAACUUCAUCCACGCCAAUUCUAAUUGUUGUUGCAGCUAUAUAUGUUAUUCCUUGCCAAGCAAUUCUGUCCCUUCUCUAACGGCUUGACAGAUACAACAUUCCAUUUUAGAUUGGGGACCACGUAGUGGUCUAGAUGACUUGGCAAAUGCCUAUCUCUAGUACUGCGUCUAGGUAAUGUCGGAGUGUGCUGCUGAUUUAUUACAUAUACAUUUGAUAUAUAUGUGAUAUACAUCAAAUUUGGUUCAAGGAGAUACACAAGGGGAUACACAAGGAGAUACACAAGUAGAUACACAUCUUAUCUUCUUCCAUGUUCAUCUUCAGUUUCAAAUUUGGUUCAAAUUUUAAUUCAAACUAUCUCAAGUCUAUUAUCCCAAAAAUGAGAUUCAAAUACUUUGAGAUGUACCCAAUCUAUUUCAACAACACACACUCGAAACAAAAUCUAAUUUGAAACACAAAUUUUAAAAUUCAAGCUUAAGCAAUGGCUUAAUUUUCUUGACUUCAGCGUUGCUCUAUGGAACUUCGCCAUCAUGUUCACAUUCUUUAGGUCACUUCAUAAGCUCCAUUUGGAGAUUUCCUGUUUUCUGUUGCAACUGCAAAGUUGAAAUUUGCGGUUCGUUAAUUCUAAUCAUCAUUGUCGUUGAUAGCUUCAUCUACUCCUAAUGGCCUUCGACUUUUUUCUUUUUAAUGAGAAUCUGCUUUUUAGCACCUAAUGGUUAUCAGCUACUUCAAAUCAGCUACUCCAAACGGGCUCUUUACCUCAAGAACUUUGUUAUUUAAAUUCUACAAAAAGACAUGAGGGUGCAAAGUGCCAAAACCGGAACAAAUGGACCUUUGUAUAUACAGCUGGAUACAUCCUUUGUAGCAGGCGCGCGCACACACCCAAGUCUUGGCAAAACCCCAAGAAGUUAAAAAGAUGAACAAGGAGGUAUUGAAGCUAGCAAAAGGUUUCAGAGGGAGAGCCAAGAACUGUAUUAGAAUAGCAAGGGAGAGAGUGGAAAAGGCGCUUCAGUACUCCUAUAGAGACCGUCGAAACAAGAAGAGGGAUAUGCGUUCCCUUUGGAUUCAGCGCAUCAACGCCGGCACUCGCCAACAUGGGGUAAAAAUUAUGGAAACUUCAUGCAUAGACUGAUGAAGGAGAAUGUCCAGCUGAACAGGAAAGUCUUGUCCGAAUUGUCGGUGCACGAACCAUACGCUUCAAAUCCCGCAGCGCUUUCCCAGGAAAUAAGACGGCAAUAGUACCUUGUCUUGCUAUUGUUCUUUGACUUGCAUUUCCUAUUCUCUUCUUUUGUGUACUGUCUUUCUAUUUCUUUCUUCUUCUUUUUAUUUGUUGUUUUUUGUCAGUCAAGUAUUUAUCAAAAUCUUUAGGAAGUAGGUUAUGGGAAUAAAUUAUAUCAACAUUUAUGUUAGCAAACUCCCAACAUACUCUAGAAAUUUUGUGUUCUCAAAAAAAUUAGAGUGGAAAAUGUUUAUACCAGUCAGUUUAUA